CCUCUCCCUCCCUCCAUCAAGAUACUCCCCUGCUUGUGCUCUCUCUCCCUAAAAUUAGAGAGAGAGAGAGAAGGAGAGAGAACUUGACAUGAUGUGCCUUCUAAUGGAAAAACUCAGCACCGAUUGUGUAGUAUUGACGUUCCACACGCUCCUGUCCCCACACACGAAUCAAACCCGCAGCUGAUCCAGCCUCAAGUAGAUCAACGACCAGCUUACGUGAAACACCAAGUACAGGGAUCCCGUUAAACAAUACUAUGGGAACAGAAUCACAGGUAUCCAGAUCAUGUGACACUAUGGGACAAGUGACCGACUUCUUCAAUAAUUAAUUUGUAUUCAAACUUGAGAACUGGCACUGAAACCUGACUGAACUGUCUGGCCUGGAGCACGGGACAACUGGCCCAUGGCUUGCUCUGUGACUUUGCAUACACUGGUUCUCACUUAUCCAUUUAGGAAACAUGGAGGGCUUUCUGUCUGCUUGAGCUUCUGAAACUGUGGAGCUCACACACUAGGUUAGAAAAUGAUAAGGAAGGAUGCCUCCAGAUGGAGGUGGGGAAGCCUUUGCAAAAGAAUUGGUGUUUGAUAUGAGUCCUGACAGAUGGGAAGGAGUUCCCUGGGUGGUGGCAGUUCAUCUUCUGUAAGAUAAGAUGGUUAGACUGGAUCUACAAGGAUCUACUUAGUCCUAAUAGAUUCUGUGAUUAUAACCUGCCUAUAACCAUCCCCCCCCCCACCCCCGUGUGUGUCCCUCCAGGGAGUUGAGAGACCUCCAUGGACUUCCUGCCAUCAUCCUUUAUUUUGUUAGCCAAAGCAAUCCAACUUGAGCUGGUGGCCUUGAAUCUCUCAAUUGUGUUUGGAGACCAAAGCAUUAUCACAUUAGCCAGUCCAUAACCUUCCUAGGGAGUGGUCUCUCAGGCUCGCAGAUUUAUUUCCAUCCAUCUAGCUCCCAAGGCAUUUCGCUUAAGUAACCUUAGCUUUACAUUUGCUGGCAGUUAUGCCCAGCGUUGGUAAUAAAGAUCAUUUGCUUAUCAAAA